rnacentral:rRNA from 1 species
GACGAACGCUGGCGGCGUGCUUAACACAUGCAAGUCGAACGGUAAGGCCCUUCGGGGUACACGAGUGGCGAACGGGUGAGUAACACGUGGGUGAUCUGCCCUGCACUUCGGGAUAAGCCUGGGAAACUGGGUCUAAUACCGGAUAGGACCACUGCCUGCAUGGGUGGUGGUGGAAAGCUUGUGCGGUGUGGGAUGGGCCCGCGUCCUAUCAGCUUGUGGGUGGGGUGAUGGCCUACCAAGGCGACGACGGGUAGCCGGCCUGGGAGGGGGACCGGCCACGGUGGGACGGUGAUACGGCCCAGGCUCCUACGGAGGGCAACAGUGGGGAAUAUUGCGCAUUGGGCACACGGCUGAUGCAGCGACGCCGCGUGGGGGAAGACGGCCUACGGGUUGUAAACCUCUUUCGGCACCGACGAAGCGCAAGUGACGGUAGGUGCAGAAGAAGGACCGGCCAACUACGUGCCAGCAGCCGCCGUAA